rnacentral:rRNA from 1 species
GUUGGGUAGGGGAGCGUUCUGUAAGCCUGCGAAGGUGUACUGUGAGGUAUGCUGGAGGUAUCAGAAGUGCGAAUGCUGACAUAAGUAACGAUAAUGCGGGUGAAAAACCCGCACGCCGGAAGACCAAGGGUUCCUGUCCAACGUUAAUCGGGGCAGGGUGAGUCGACCCCUAAGGCGAGGCUGAAAAGCGUAGUCGAUGGGAAACGGGUUAAUAUUCCCGUACUGGUGGUAACUGCGAUGGGGGAACGGAGAAGGCUAGGUUGUCCGGGCGACGGUCGUCCCGGUUCAAGCAGGUAGGCAGAGUGAUUAGGCAAAUCCGGUCACUUAAUGCUGAGAUGUGAUGACGAACCACCAAGGUGGUGAAGCAAUUGAUGCCCCGCUUCCAGGAAAAGCCUCUAAGCUUCAGGUUACCAACAAUCGUACCCCAAACCGACACAGGUGGUCAGGUAGAGAAUACUCAGGCGCUUGAGAGAACUCGGGUGAAGGAACUAGGCAAAAUGGUGCCGUAACUUCGGGAGAAGGCACGCUGGCGGUAGGUAAAGUCCCUCGCGGACGGCGCUGAAGCCAGUCGAAGAUACCAGCUGGCUGCAACUGUUUAUUAAAAACACAGCACUGUGCAAACACGAAAGUGGACGUAUACGGUGUGACGCCUGCCCGGUGCUGGAAGGUUAAUUGAUGGGGUUAGCGUAAGCGAAGCUCCUGAUCGAAGCCCCAGUAAACGGCGGCCGUAACUAUAACGGUCCUAAGGUAGCGAAAUUCCUUGUCGGGUAAGUUCCGACCUGCACGAAUGGCGUAAUGAUGGCCAGGCUGUCUCCACCCGAGACUCAGUGAAAUUGAACUCGCUGUGAAGAUGCAGUGUACCCGCGGCAAGACGGAAAGACCCCGUGAACCUUUACUAUAGCUUGACACUGAACAUUGAGCCUUGAUGUGUAGGAUAGGUGGGAGGCUUUGAAGUGUGGACGCCAGUCUGCAUGGAGCCAACCUUGAAAUACCACCCUUUAACGUUUGAUGUUCUAACCUAGGCCCAUAAACUGGGUCGGGGACCGUGUCUGGUGGGUAGUUUGACUGGGGCGGUCUCCUCCUAAAGAGUAACGGAGGAGCACGAAGGUUGGCUAAGCAUGGUCGGACAUCAUGCGGUUAGUGCAAAGGCAUAAGCCAGCUUGACUGCGAGAGUGACGGCUCGAGCAGGUACGAAAGUAGGUCUUAGUGAUCCGGUGGUUCUGAAUGGAAGGGCCAUCGCUCAACGGAUAAAAGGUACUCCGGGGAUAACAGGCUGAUACCGCCCAAGAGUUCAUAUCGACGGCGGUGUUUGGCACCUCGAUGUCGGCUCAUCACAUCCUGGGGCUGAAGUAGGUCCCAAGGGUAUGGCUGUUCGCCAUUUAAAGUGGUACGCGAGCUGGGUUUAGAACGUCGUGAGACAGUUCGGUCCCUAUCUGCCGUGGGCGUUGGAAGAUUGAGAGGGGUUGCUCCUAGUACGAGAGGACCGGAGUGAACGCACCACUGGUGUUCGGGUUGUCAUGCCAAUGGCAUUGCCCGGUAGCUAAGUGCGGAAGAGAUAACCGCUGAAAGCAUCUAAGCGGGAAACUUGCCUCGAGAUGAGUCUUCCCUGUCGCUUUAAGCGACCUAAAGGAACGUUUAAGACUAAGACGUUGAUAGGCUGGGUGUGUAAGCGUAGCGAUACGUUGAGCUAACCAGUACUAAUGAACCGUGAGGCUUAACCUG